rnacentral:rRNA from 1 species
CUUGCUUCUCUUGAGAGCGGCGGACGGGUGAGUAAUGCCUAGGAAUCUGCCUGGUAGUGGGGGAUAACGUUCGGAAACGGACGCUAAUACCGCAUACGUCCUACGGGAGAAAGCAGGGGACCUUCGGGCCUUGCGCUAUCAGAUGAGCCUAGGUCGGAUUAGCUAGUUGGUGGGGUAAUGGCUCACCAAGGCUACGAUCCGUAACUGGUCUGAGAGGAUGAUCAGUCACACUGGAACUGAGACACGGUCCAGACUCCUACGGGAGGCAGCAGUGGGGAAUAUUGGACAAUGGGCGAAAGCCUGAUCCAGCCAUGCCGCGUGUGUGAAGAAGGUCUUCGGAUUGUAAAGCACUUUAAGUUGGGAGGAAGGGUUGUAGAUUAAUACUCUGCAAUUUUGACGUUACCGACAGAAUAAGCACCGGCUAACUCUGUGCCAGCAGCCGCGGUAAUACAGAGGGUGCAAGCGUUAAUCGGAAUUACUGGGCGUAAAGCGCGCGUAGGUGGUUUGUUAAGUUGGAUGUGAAAUCCCCGGGCUCAACCUGGGAACUGCAUUCAAAACUGACUGACUAGAGUAUGGUAGAGGGGUGGUGGAAUUUCCUGUGUAGCGGUGAAAUGCGUAGAUAUAGGAAGGAACACCAGUGGCGAAGGCGACCACCUGGACUAAUACUGACACUGAGGUGCGAAAGCGUGGGGAGCAAACAGG